rnacentral:lncRNA from 1 species
GCCCCCGGUGAACAUUCCUAUGCCGAUGACCGAGGGUUUGAUCAAGUGUGGCUAUCAUGAUCUGAAACCCAACAUCUUUAGGGGGAACCACCUCCUUGAUCGGGGUCUCUAGGGGAAGCUGGGAAGCCACCUUCUCCAAAACGGUCUGGCCCUUCUCCACCAUGGUGGACUAGAAAAAUGAAAAAAAAUAAAAAAUUAAUAUGAAUGUACAUGUAAUUAAUAUUAAUACUAAUUGAAUAUUAAAAAUUUUAAAUCACUUACAUGAAGCUGCUUCGUCAGCUCAUCCCUGGCCAAGCGUACACCUCUUUAAACAUGUCAAUUUCAAAAAACUUUGACCCCCCUAAAAAAAUUUAAAAAGUGUUAACAUAGAUUACCAAUUGUGUAAUAAAGAGUAAAAGGAUUGAAAACUUAAAAUAAAUAUAUGGUUACCUUAUGUCGCUCCUCCAACCUAUAAGAGAAGUGUCGUGAGCCGGAUUGGUGAAUAAGUUUCUUCUUCAACCGAUUGAUCAAGUUUGUCUUCACUUUUUCUGUUGAAUUAAAAAAAAAAGUAUUAGUUUAGAUAUUUAUACCAAAUGAAUGAAAAAAUGAUUUU